UACCAAAACUGUUAGCUAUAGUUUGGCAUUAAAUGCAUGUGGACCCGUUUUUGUAAAUAUCUCUUCAUCCAAUGAUCCAAUCGAUCUCAAACUGUGCAAGUGGAUGUUUUGUCAGACAACCUAAU